UUUCCGUAGGUGAACCUGCGGAAGGAUCAUUAGUGAAUUGAAUAUGUUAGCGGACCUCUUCGGAGUCCCUAGCAUCAAAUCAUAUCCAUAACACCUGUGAACUGUAAGGCUGUCUUGAAAACGAAAGUGAUUAGAGCGCCUGCCUAUUUUAUACAAACAUUAAAGUAACAAACGUAGUCUUAUUAUAAUCAAUACAACUUUCAACAACGGAUCUCUUGGCUCUC
rnacentral:misc_RNA from 1 species